UGUAGCGUUAUUGUAAGACGGGCAUUACAUUUAACUCAACCAAACAAUUGAAAUCUGUGACAUAUCAAUGUCAUUUCGAACAUCGAUCGACCGAGAUUGUACUUAAGUUUAGUAGCAAAUGUAUGAACUCAUUCUAAACUCUAAUCAAUAUGUAAACCGACCCUAAGGCAAGAAAAAAUAAAUUCUUGAUUAACUCCGAAAUGGAGUUAAUUAGAAUACCGGUGUCUUUGGGAAAGUUACUUGAUUUAAGCUCAGGAAUACACCCUUGAAAUUAA